rnacentral:rRNA from 1 species
UACAGAGGGUGCAAGCGUUAAUCGGAAUUACUGGGCGUAAAGCGCACGUAGGUGGCGACGUAAGUCGGGUGUGAAAGCCCCGGGCUCAACCUGGGAACUGCGUCCGAUACUGGAUGGCUUGAAUUCGGGAGAGGGAUGCAGAAUUCCAGGUGUAGCGGUGAAAUGCGUAGAUAUCUGGAGGAAUACCGGUGGCGAAGGCGGCAUCCUGGACCGACAUUGACGCUGAGGAGCGAAAGCCAGGGAGCAAACGGG